CCAGACGGCCGGGCGGCCGCCCUUGGACCUUGUGUCCGGGGGAGGAAAGUCCGGGCUCCACGGAAGCACGGUGCCGGAUAACGUCCGGCGGGGGCGACCCCAGGGAAAGUGCCACAGAAAGCAAACCGCCCACGCGGCCCCAAGCGGCCCCGCGGGUAAGGGUGAAAGGGUGCGGCAAGAGCGCACCGCGCUCCCGGUGACGGGGGCGGCACGGUAAACCCCACCGGGAGCAAGACCAAAUAGGGGCGGCUGCUCCUCCGUUCCGGCGGAGGGCGAAACGCGCUUCCGCGUCGCCGCCCGGGUCGGUCGCGCGAGGCGCCCGGUAACGGGCGUCCCAGAUGAAUGGCCGUCACCCGCCUGCGGGCGGGGACAGAACCCGGCUUACAGGCCGUCUGGCGCA
rnacentral:RNase_P_RNA from 1 species